UAGUCUCUUGAAGUGCCCAUGUGUAAGACUUAGAGCGUUGGUUCUUAUUAUGAGUACAAAUAACGUAUAAGGGAGGAGAUCACAGGUUUGGUUUACAUACCUGUAUCAUGUAUUUUUAAGAUUUUGUUUAUUAUUUUUGUGUGCAUGAGAGAGAGGGGGCGCCUGUGUGAGUCACUGUGCAUGUGUAUAGGUCAGAGGACAACUGUUGGGGAGUGGGAUUUUCCUUCCGCCUUGUUGAGGCAGGGCUCUCAUUGUUUCUGCUGCCUUUGCUGUGCUGUGUGCUCCAGGUCAGAGGCUUCCAGGUGGUCUUCCUGUCCCCACCUCCCUGCCACAGGAGUGCUGUAGCUGCAGAUGCAGGCCACCCAUCUGCUCUUUACAGGAAGUUGUUGGGUUUGUGAGGCUAGGGCUCUGACUGAGUCAUAUCUCUCUGUCCCAGCCCUGCCUGUCUCAUAUUUUAGGACAUGCAGUGCUAAGAAUUUCACUCUCUCAAAUCUUGAUCACAUCAUAGGUGUCAUUGUCCCUGCAGUAUAUAGAAGUAUAUAGGUGCCAUUGUCCCUGCAGUAUAUAGAAGUAUAUAGGUGCCAUUGUCCCUGCAGUAUAUAGAAGUAUAUAGGUGCCAUUGUCCCUGCAGUACAUAGAAGAAUAUAGGUGUCAUUGUCCCUGCAGUACAUAGAAGAAUAUAGGUGUCAUUGUCCCUGCAGUAUAUAGAAGUAUAUAGGUGUCAUCGUCCCUGUAGUAUAUAGAAGUAUAUAGGUGUCAUCGUCCCUACAGUAUAUAGAAGUAUAUAGGGGUCAUCGUCCCUGCAGUAUAUAGAAGUAUAUAGGUGCCAUUGUCCCUGCAGUAUAUAGAAGUAUAUAGGUGCCAUUGUCCCUGCAGUAUAUAAAAGUAUAUAGGCGCCAUUGUCCCUGCAGUAUAUAGAAGUAUAUAGGUGCCAUUGUCCCUGCAGUAUAUAGAAGUAUAUAGGGGUCAUCGUCCCUGCAGUAUAUAGAAGUAUAUAGGUGUCAUUGUCCCUGCAGAAUAUAGAAGUAUAUAGGUGUCAUUGUUCCAAUCCCACAUAUAUAGAAACUAAAGCUAGAGGACGAUGAGCUGUCUUAGGUCACAUGCUUUUGGAGAAUGCCCAUUAGCAUUCAUUUGGUGUUUAAAUAAAUAAUAUUUAGUAACUGUGAUUCUUCUUUAUGAGAGAAUUAAGAAAUAGUUCUUAAUUUCUCAAAUUCUCAAUUUCUUAAUACAAAGGGGUGUAAGUAAACACGGUGUUUGUUCACUUGGUAUAAGCCGACACUUUUGGGGACUCCCAGCACUACACUUCCUUCUGUGUCCCUCCAUCUUGGUUAACAACAUCGUUAUGCAGCUGUCUUUGUGCUUUCGCUCAUGGCUCAGUGCUCUGGUUCCAGCUGCUCAUCCUUGUCCCCAAAGGCCGUGCCUACUGACUGGUGGGCACCGCCUUCACUUUACCCUCUCUGUCAUCACGGAGGGCUGCUCGGAGCCCCCAGCAUGUGAUGCUGUGGGGGCAAGCUCUGUGACCCAUCGCCGCUUCCUUUUUAGCCUUUUCCUGUUUCUGCCUGUUCCCACCUCCAUCUGGUUGUACGUUUUAGACCUCUGUUUCCUGUUGGCUCUUCAGUGAAGUCCGUCCUGACUCUCAGGCAGCAUUAGCCGCUCUGUUUUAGCGUUUUCUUUACAUUUUCUCUGUGCUCUUCAGAGCUCUUCAGGUGCUCACACAGUAUUCCUGAGCCUGCUUUCUGUUCAAAGUCAAGGAAGGGGACUAUGUCUGCUUCACCUCAUCCCGUAACUUUUUGGUUGGGAGUGCCUUGUAGUUUUCAGUGGGUCCUGGCUAAAUGGCGAUAACAGAACCACAGAGAGAAUAUUGGGCGGGGGGG
rnacentral:sRNA from 1 species